rnacentral:rRNA from 1 species
GAUGAACGCUGGCGGCGUGCCUAAUACAUGCAAGUCGAGCGAACGGACGAGAAGCUUGCUUCUCUGAUGUUAGCGGCGGACGGGUGAGUAACACGUGGAUAACCUACCUAUAAGACUGGGAUAACUUCGGGAAACCGGAGCUAAUACCGGAUAAUAUUUUUAACCGCAUGGUUCAAAAGUGAAAGACGGUCUUGCUGUCACUUAUAGAUGUAUCCGCGCUGCAUUAGCUAGUUGGUAAGGUAACGGCUUACCAAGGCAACGAUGCAUAGCCGACCUGAGAGGGUGAUGGGCCACACUGGAACUGAGACACGGUCCAGACUACUACGGGAGGCAGCAGUAGGGAAUCUUCCGCAAUGGGCGAAAGCCUGACGGAGCAACGCCGCGUGAGUGAUGAAGGUCUUCGGAUCGUAAAACUCUGUUAUUAGGGAAGAACAUAUGUGUAAGUAACUGUGCACAUCUUGACGGUACCUAAUCAGAAAGCCACGGCUAACUACGUG